GGGCUUGUGGUUUAACGGCAUAACACUCUCUUAGCAUUUGGACGGUUUGAUGGACUGUUUAGAGCAGCAUACCUAUGUGAAUGCGGAGAGAAGUCGGGGUUCGAUUCCCUGUGAGUCCA